UACAGAGGGUGCUAGCGUUGUUCGGAAUCAUUGGGCGUAAAGGGCGUGUAGGCGGUUUGUCGCGUCUGACGUGAAAAUCCGGGGCUCAACCCCGGACUUGCGGUGGGUACGGGCAGACUAGAGGUAUGCAGGGGAGAACGGAAUUCCUGGUGUAGCGGUGAAAUGCGCAGAUAUCAGGAGGAACACCGGUGGCGAAGGCGGUUCUCUGGGCAUUACCUGACGCUGAGGAGCGAAAGUGUGGGGAGCGAACAGG
rnacentral:rRNA from 1 species